ACCUUAUCGGUGGGGAUACGCAGACGAAAGCUGUGCUAAUACCGCAUACCGCCUGGAGGGGAAGCGGGGGAUCGAAAGACCUCGCGCCUUUGGAGCGGCCGAUGUCAGAUUAGGUAGUUGGUGGGGUAAAGGCCUACCAAGCCGACGAUCUGUAGCGGGUCUGAGAGGAUGAUCCGCCACACUGGGACUGAGACACGGCCCAGACUCCUACGGGAGGCAGCAGUGGGGAAUUUUGGACAAUGGGCGAAAGCCUGAUCCAGCCAUGCCGCGUGAGUGAAGAAGGCCUUCGGGUUGUAAAGCUCUUUCGGCUGGGAAGAAAUCGCACAGGCUAAUACUCUGUGUGGAUGACGGUACCAGCACAAGAAGCACCGGCUAACUACGUG
rnacentral:rRNA from 1 species